rnacentral:rRNA from 1 species
UACGUAGGGUGCGAGCGUUAAUCGGAAUUACUGGGCGUAAAGCGUGCGCAGGCGGUUUUGUAAGACAGAUGUGAAAUCCCCGGGCUCAACCUGGGAACUGCGUUUGUGACUGCAAGACUCGAGUACGGCAGAGGGGGGUGGAAUUCCACGUGUAGCAGUGAAAUGCGUAGAGAUGUGGAGGAACACCGAUGGCGAAGGCAGCCCCCUGGGUCGAUACUGACGCUCAUGCACGAAAGCGUGGGGAGCAAACAGG